AUAGCUCAUAGAGCACAUGCUUAGCAUGCAUGACAUCCUGGGUUCAAUCCCCAGU
rnacentral:tRNA from 1 species